GGAGCAAUAGUUUAAUUGAAUACUGCUUUUGUAAUGCAGAGGUGUAGGUUGUCUGCUUCU
rnacentral:tRNA from 1 species